UACGUAGGGGGCAAGCGUUUGUCCGGAAUUAUUGGGCGUAAAGAGCGUGUAGGCGGUCCGGUAAGUCAGCUGUGAAAGUCAAGGGCUCAACCCCUUGAAUGCCGGUUGAUACUGUCGGGCUAGAGUCCGGAAGAGGCGAGUGGAAUUCCCGGUGUAGCGGUGAAAUGCGCAGAUAUCGGGAGGAACACCCGGUGGCGAAGGCGGAUCUCUGGGCCUUACCUGACGCUGAGGCG
rnacentral:rRNA from 1 species